UACGUAGGGGGCGAGCGUUGUCCGGAUUUAUUGGGCGUAAAGAGCUCGUAGGCGGCUUGGCAAGUCGGGUGUGAAACCUCCAGGCUCAACCUGGAGACGCCACUCGAUACUGCUAUGGCUAGAGUCCGGUAGGGGACCACGGAAUUCCUGGUGUAGCGGUGAAAUGCGCAGAUAUCAGGAGGAACACCGGUGGCGAAGGCGGUGGUCUGGGCCGGCACUGACGCUGAGACGCGAAAGCAUGGGGAGCGAACGGG
rnacentral:rRNA from 1 species